rnacentral:lncRNA from 1 species
UCCGAAUUAGUAGGAGAUAUGCAUCAGUGUAUUUCAAUUUCACAAAAUUUGGACCUGGAUAAUCCAUAUGAUGGAUUUAAAAAAGAUUAAAAUACAAUGUAGAAGAUUUUUCUAGGAUUAACAGUUAAAUCUUUAGUCGUCCUUGAGCAUUAGGGUCAAAAGAAUGAAUUAUACGGUAACCAUACGCCAAUAGGUUCUUGAAUGUUGCUUCGCCUUCAUUCGACCUAUCCAGACGUUGGG